rnacentral:rRNA from 1 species
GAUGAACGCUGGCGGCGUGCCUAAUACAUGCAAGUCGAGCGAACGGACGAGAAGCUUGCUUUUCUGAUGUUAGCGGCGGACGGGUGAGUAACACGUGGAUAACCUACCUAUAAGACUGGGAUAACUUCGGGAAACCGGAUCUAAUACCGGAUAAUAUUUUGAACCGCAUGGUUCAAAAGUGAAAGACGGUCUUGCUGUCACUUAUAGAUGGAUCCGCGCUGCAUUAGCUAGUUGGUAAGGUAACGGCUUACCAAGGCAACGAUGCAUAGCCGACCUGAGAGGGUGAUCGGCCACACUGGAACUGAGACACGGUCCAGACUCCUACGGGAGGCAGCAGUAGGGAAUAUUCCGCAAUGGGCGAAAGCCUGACGGAGCAACGCCGCGUGAGUGAUGAAGGUCUUCGGAUCGUAAAACUCUGUUAUUAGGGAAGAACAUAUGUGUAAGUAACUGUGCACAUCUUGACGGUACCUAAUCAGAAAGCCACGGCUAACUACGUG